AUGCUCUGCCCACACCUGAGCUCUCUCCAAUCUCCGCCUCCUGGACGUGGUAGGGUGGCCAAGCUCAGCUCACACCUGAGCUCUCUCCGAGCUCCGCCUUCUGGACUCGGUAGAGUGGCCAUGCUCCACCCACACCUGCGCUCUCUCCGAGCUCCGACUUCUGGACGUGGUAGGAUGGCCAUGCUCCGCCCACACCUGAGCUCUCGGUGCCACCAUCUGCAGGUGUACUCCAGAGGACAAGUGUACUGUGGGUCAGCAGCCAGUCGUUUCAUAGAAGAUAAACUUCAAGAACAUUCUCUGAAGGGCAGUGAAACUGAGUAAGAUCUAACCACUGUUACCAGCAACCAAGAAAAAUAGACAAUGAAGUUAUUCAUCAUGCAUGACCCAGUAACAUUUCUCAGUGGUUGGAUUCAGUACGAGAAAUAAGCAAAUAAUCGCACUGCUUCUUCCAUUUCAAAGUCAUGUCUCUUACAAAAAGUGGUCAAGAAAAAUGCCUGUUGCCUUACAUACGGGUUAGUGCCAAAAAUUUGGUUUAAAAUAUUUCAAGCGGGUUAUCCUUUUACAUCCAUGUUGUUAGUUUCACAAAGAACACAUACAAAUGCAAUUUUUUUUUACCGUAAGUUUUUGCAAAUUAUAAUCAUAAACUAAAGAAACAGGAUUAAGCAUAUUAUUUUUUGAGAUAUGUCUAGUCUAGUUCUGUUGCCCAGGCUGGAGUGCAGUGGCACAAUCAUGGCUCACUGCAGCCUCAACCUCCCCCGGCCCAGGUGAUUCUCCCACCUCAGCCUCCCGAGCAGCUGGGACCACAGGCACACACCACCAUGCCCGGCUGAUUUCUGUAUUUUUUGUAGGGAUGGGCUUUGGAAUGUUGCCCAGGCUAGUCUCAAAUGCUGGGACUCAAACAAUCUGCCUGCCUUGGCUUCCCAAAGUGCCAAGGUUACAGGCAUGAGCCACCACGCCUGGCCUAAUCAUUUUUAGAGUCUCUAUGUAUUACUGUUAUUUUUUUCCUAAUUGAGAUGGGGGUCUUGCUCUGUUGCCCCGGCUGGAGUGCAGUGGUGCCAUCUCAGCUGACAGCAACCUCUGCCUCCCGGGCUCAAGUGAUUCUCCCACCUCAGCCUCCCAAGUAGCUGGGACUACAGGUGUACACCACCAGGCUCAGCUAAUUUUUUGUACUUUUGGUGGAGACAAGAUGUACAAAAGACAUUUCUGUACAUUUUGCCAUGUUGUCCAGGCUGGCCUUGAACCCUUGGGCUCAAGCCAUACACCUGCCCUGGACUCCCAAAGUGCUGGAGUUAUAGGCAUGAGCUACCGUGCCCAGCCCUUAAUUAUGUGCUGUGACUUAAUAUUAAAAUAAAGAAAGGGAGGAGCCCA
rnacentral:lncRNA from 1 species